rnacentral:rRNA from 1 species
UCGAGGAUCUUCGGCAAUGGGCGCAAGCCUGACCGAGCGACGCCGCGUGCGCGAUGAAGGCCUUCGGGUUGUAAAGCGCUGUCGAGGGGGAGGAAAGCCCGCAAGGGUCUGACCUAUCCCUGGAGGAAGCACGGGCUAAGUUCGUGCCAGCAGCCGCGGUAAGACGAACCGUGCGAACGUUGUUCGGAUUCACUGGGCUUAAAGGGCGCGUAGGCGGCUCGCCAAGUCGGGGGUGAAAUCUUUCGGCUCAACCGGAAAACAGCUUCCGAUACUGGCGGGCUGGAGGGAGGUAGGGGCGGACGGAACUUCCGGUGGAGCGGUGAAAUGCGUAGAUAUCGGAAGGAACGCCGGUGGCGAAAGCGGUCCGCUGGAUCUCUUCUGACGCUGAGGCGCGAAAGCCAGGGGAGCAAACGGGAUUAGAUACCCCCGUAGUCC